GGGUGCAGCGAGCAUCGCUGCAGGCACCGCUGCUGGUCGGGCCGCCAGUGG
rnacentral:ncRNA from 12 species